AUGGGCAGGACGCGGACUCUGCAGCAGCUUGCAUGCCGCCACCCCCCCCCCCAAGAGCUUUACUGCGCACACCUUACCCCAGGCAACACUGCGGGUUCGCUGGUGAUGGCCACCAGGGGGCAAAAGAGAGCAGAACGCCUCGCCUGGGGAAGGAGGGUGGCUGGUGCCAGUGGGCAGUGCCAGCUUCCUGGGCUUACCUGCAAAGCAGGGGCUUACAACGGGGCCUCCCUUGUGGCAUUUUAACUCACUUGGAGCCACGUGCCUAAAGAAUUCUUGUCGUUGCAGGAGACCUCUCCUCCCUGCAUCCAAGCUCUUGCCACACUCUAGUCUGUUUUCUUUGCCGGGUUGCCCCACCUUCCCCUCACCACCCCUUAAGGCCAGAAUUCUGGUUUUCUUUCUGUUUCCCCUAUCACAAAUUAAAGUGCGCUUUAUGACUAAAACUUUCCUUCAAUUGCUGUCCGAAAUUGGUUUGGUGAAGGAGGUCUGGAUGUGUUUUAAACUGACUAGAAUUUUAUUUUAGAGGUGCCUGCUGAAGAAAUAAAAGGUAAGAACUUCAAUCCACUGGCCUAUUCCUAAUUUCCCAGCUUAUCAGGUCCAUAUGUAUGUGUGUUUUAAUGCAUUUAUUUAUAUGCAACACUAACAUGCAUGUACUUAAAGUGUGUUCUGUGAUGGAUUUUGGUCAGUGUCUACCUGUAAAGUCGUCACCGUAUCAAAAUAAGAAAAAAGUAUCUUGCGUCUCUUUUGUAAUCAAUCCCUCAUCUCAAUAUUAAAAACAACAGUCCAUUUUUAAUUUAAAAACAUUUAAAAUACUCAUGCUCCAUUUUUAAUCUGGUUCCUUUUACUCUGUAAAAGUUCUUUCCAGUUCUAUCCACGAUGCUGAGCGCACGCACCAAUGCGGAGUAAACGUCUGCUUUUAUAGAGACAUGCCACAAACUGGUGAGCCACUCACCUUGGAGGACAGCAUGCUUGUUCCUGUGUUUGGGCUGUUACAUAUGAAUUUGCUAUGGACUCUAGUAUAUAUGUCUUUUGUGGAUGUAAGCUUUCAUUACUUUGAACAAGUAGAAAUAGAAUAGCUGGAUAAAAAUGGAAUAGUAUACUUAAUUUCUUAAGAAAUUACUGUAUUGUUUCACAAAAUAGUUUUACUAUUUCUUAUUCCUAAAGUUGCUCCCCAGCCUUGACAACCCUUGCAUUAGUCUUUUACAACUCACACAGUCUCAUUGUGGUUUAAUGACUAAACACUGUGUUUCCAGGAAAUUAUGCAUCUGUCUAUGUACUUUGGUGAGAUGUCCAUAUUGGAGUGUCAGUUUUAUUAUUGCUGAAUUUUUGAAGAUUCUAUAUCCAGCAUAUAAGACUUUUACCAUAAAUGAUUUACAGUGUUUUCUUUCAGUUUGAAAAAUCUCUAUUUUCAUUUUCUUGUCUAUCAAAGAGAGUUUUCCAAUGUUAUCUUUAACAGUUUUUUAAACCCAUGCCAGUGAUAAGAAAUCUUGGCUUAAUUUGAUGUCAGCAAAAAUAUAUUUUGUUUUCUUCUUGCAAUUUUAGUCUUAGGCUUUACAUAUAGGUCUAUGAUUUCUUUUAAAGAUUUAUUUUUUAAAAAUAAAGUUUUUGCACACCAGCAUCAAAAUUUUCCAGCACCAAUUGCUAUGAAGAGCAAUGUUGUUUCUUUGGAAUGCCCUUAUAAUUUUUGUCAAAAGUUCAUUUUUGAAUAUUGCCAUGUUCGGUUGACCUGGUUGUCUUCGGUUAGACCCAGAUCAGAGUGUCUUGAUGACUAUGGCUAUAGAAUUGUUCUAUGAUCUCCCUUCAAGAGAGUUUGGCCACUUUAAAAUCUUUGCAUUUUCUCACAGAAUUUAGAUUCAUGUUGACAGUGCCUGUGGAAACUCUUAAGGUGUUAAUUGAGCUACAUUUAUCCCAGAGAGUGUCCCUAAUUGGGAAGAAUGACAUCAGUUCAGAAUUCAUAAUCUGACCCCAAACACUGCGUUUUCUGGCGUUUUGAGGCCUUCCUUACUAUGUGUCAGCACUGAACUGUUGGUCCCAGGGGAAGAGAUCAGGAGAAACACAGGCAGGCAGAGACUGAGGGAGUGCUGUGCAAGCCUGGGGACUCAGGCAGAGGUGUGAGUUUUCACUUGACACUUUGGAGGAAGUGUGGCACUUGCUGACAGGCUCAUGACUCUCAAUUCUAUGAGAGUGCAGGCCCUGUUGUUUGAAGCCUGUGGGUUUGUGUCCCUCUUGCCUCAGCCUCCAGAACACUAACACAUGGCAGUAAUGUGACUUCCACGAUGAUUGUUUAAGCUCAACACCAAUGAGGGUAGCAUACCCAAGUAAUAUUCAAAUGAUGGUGCAUGUAAUGUAGAGUAAAACUUUCUACUCAAAUAGCUAGGCCAGUACACACAGACUUAUAAUCAUUAAAAAUAAACAUAUCAACAUGGACUUUAACUUUUCCACCUGUGCUUUUAUUUACAAAAAUCUAUUAACAGCGUGUAUCAAAACUCACUCAGGUAAACAAUGUGUGACCUUGUGAUGUGCUAAAAGUAAAGAUAAAUUAUUCAUCACAGCAAUAAUUUGACAAAAAAUUACUAGCUGGAUGUCCCCUAGGUACUGGACACUGUUAGAUCUGAAAGAGGAAAUACCAAAGUUAGCAGAUGAUGACCUUGUGGGGAUUAUAUUAACUGAAUCAUUCAGUUUCUGUCAUUUCUCUGAUUUCACUGCUUCACAAAACUACAGGAAUUUCUAAUAAAAGUGUCAUUAUCCAUUAGUUUUAGAAGCAUUUAUAUUGUAAAAUAGAAUAAAAAGAGGCCAAUGGGGAAAAGACACAGUAGGAUGAGGAAAGCAGAAAAAAAGGAAAAACCCCACCAACCAAGAGAUCAGAAGCAAGAGGUGUACUCCCAGGAACUGGCUCUGCCUGAAGGAGCAUCCCAUAGCAUCAGGCCUGCUUCCAUGACCUUACUUGACCGGUAGCACUUAACCCAGAUAGAAAAUGGAAGACAAAUAAAUUGAAGACUUCUUCAGGGGAUAAAGUUCCAGCCACUGAACAUUUGUCUGUUGCCCCAAUAGCUAUGCAACUCUAAAAGAAGUCAGAUUUUCUAGCAUUGCUAUACACUUGACUUGAAAAUGUCCAAAGAAAAUUGAAGAAUGCAGAACCAAGUCAUCAUUCAUCCUCUGUGGACAGUUGCUCAAUCAGCAAUUUGGCCUGCUUCAAGAAGGCACAUCUCAACAUAAAAUUCCUGUGUAGGUUAUCAGCUCUCAACCCACACCUGUCACUCAGAAUCACCUGCUGAAACAAACAUGGAGCCCACUGCUAGACCCCACCUUCCCAGCUACGGUGAAAACCCCAUCUGCUUCGGAAGCCUUCAAGGCCUCAAGUAAGCUAUGCUCAUUCUCUGGGAGCAUCCUGUCUGCAGGACUGAUGCCAGGAUUUCAAGCCUGAUUUAGUUCUCUGCUCCAUCAGGUCAGACAGGCUUUCAUUACCUGACCUCCCCAGAGGGUACUGUGGUUUCUUCCCUACUUGGACAAUUAAGAUGUGCAACAAUGUGAAAGACCAAGUGUUUCGUUGCAUACUAGGAAAAAAGAGAUACAGAAAAACAAUGAAAAUUCGGCAUUUAAUAAUAGUAAUACAUACAAUUCACAUUCUCUGUAUAACCAGUCUUUUGUUACACUUAGAAGUUGUUCUCUUAACAAAGAUAUAAAACAUUAAAUGCAACAGGCUCUUUUUAUAACUGUACAAGAUCUUUAGGCAAAAUGGAGGUUCACAAAACUGGUUCUAUAACUUUGAUAAUGGCUGUGAAAUUUUCCAUAAUUUGCCACAGGAGAUGGAGUAUUUUUUAUUGGAAAUUUAGUGAUUAAGUCAUUGUACUUCCCAAGCGGGUCUCUUAGAGUGCUGUGGAGUUAAUAGAAAUACAUACAUACACUGGAUGUUGAAGGUAGUCACCAAGGGUGGUAACUGCCUAGAAGAAAGAAUUUUAAUUGUUCUAAUAAAAUGUGUGGUUUGUUUUCAUUUUAAUAAAAGAAGAAUUAAUUGGUUUUAUUAAACUUAUCAAUAAAGGCACAAUUAAAUUUAA